UACGGAGGGUGCGAGCGUUGUCCGGAAUCACUGGGCGUAAAGGGCGCGUAGGCGGCCUGAUAAGUAGGGGGUGAAAUCCUGCGGCUUAACCGCAGGGCUGCCUUCUAAACUGUCAGGCUUGAGCACAGGUAGAGGCAGGUGGAAUUCCCGGUGUAGCGGUGGAAUGCGUAGAGAUCGGGAAGAACUCAGUGGCGAAGGCGGCCUGCUGGGCUGUUGCUG
rnacentral:rRNA from 1 species